rnacentral:lncRNA from 1 species
AUCGAAAUCAGACCUUGAGGCACAAAACGGAGUCUCGAUGAUGACUCCGGGAUUCUUUGACAGUUCGGAGAGUGGGAUUUGAUAAAAGAUUGAAUAAGGUUUCUAUAGGCAUUGAUUUUGGAUGAUUUAGAAUUGUAAUGACUUUGUAAGAGCUUUGCAAAGUCAAGGUGUGUUUCGGAUGACUUGGGUUUUAUGAAAUAAAAAUAACAUUUUUGUUUUGGAUGAUUUCAAGAGUUUUGUAAUAAACUUAUUGGUGAAAUUUUGUGGGUUUAUGGUUAAUGUUGUGUUUAAUAUGUGUUGUGAAUUUGAGCUCAAUCUAAUGGUUGAAUUAAGGGAUAUUGAGGUUUAAGUGGAUCAAGGUCUCAAAAAGUAGAAUUUUAGGUUCAGUGAGAGUUUUUAAGAUUUCUUGCAAUCUACUAGUUGGAUUGGAGUGAAACUUAUGUGAGAGGAUAUUAGACUUGUUUUACUAUGUGUAUAAGAAUUUUGAGAUCAUAAAAAUAGUGCAAAAGAGAGAUAUUGGAUCUGGAAGAUUGGCAUCAAGAUUAGAGAAGAAGGCCGGCCAAUAUCCAAGCACAUUUUUGAGGUUAUCGUCAAUUUGGUAAUUUUGAUCCUUUUCAAAAAAUUUGUGAUUGUUUUCAACUUAGUUUUUAAGAAGUGUGUAAAAUUUGAGUUAAGAUGGACGGUUUAUUCAUUAGUUAUUGAGGUUUAAAUCUAUUAUAGGAAUUACUAGGGUUUAAGAUGUAGGGUUUGGAUUAGGGUUUGAUUUAGAGUUUAGGGUUUGAUUAGGAUUUGGUUUAGGAUUUAGGAUUUGGAUUAAAAUUUGAUUAGGAUUUUAUUUAGAAUUUAGGAUUUGAAUUAGGAUUUAGUUAGGAUUUGGUUUAGGAUUUGGAUUAGGAUUUGAUUAGGAUUUUAUUUAGGAUUUAGGAUUUGAAUUAGGAUUUAGUUAGGCUUUGGUUUAGGAUUUAGGAUUUGGAUUAGAGUUUGGUUUAGAGUUUAGAAUUUAGAUUAGGAUUUGGUUAGGAUUUGAUUUAGGAUUUAGGAUUUAGUUUAGGGUUUGGUUAGGAUUUGGUUUAGGAUUUAGUUGGGAUUUGGUUUAAGGUUUGUUUAGACUUUGGUUUAGGAUUUUAUUAGGAUUUUAUUAGGGUUUAAGAUUUAAUUAGUUUUGGCCUAAUGUUUGAAUGAAAUCUAAUAGGAUUUUAAUUAGGAUUAAAUUAAGAUUGAAUUGAGAUGUAUUUGAGAGAGAUUUGUCAUCAUUCUAAUAUUUUUUUAAGAUUUUUUAUUAUUUCUUUGAAAUUUCUUUGAGGUUUCUUUGAAUUUGAUGAAAGCUUGCUUAGCAUUAUUAUCGUCUAAUUAGAACAUUGUUAGUAUUCUAUUAGAAUUAGGAUUUUUUUGUUGCAAUUUCCAUUCUUCCUUUCACAGCCAAGUGCUUGGAGCAUUCUCAAGGAAGACUUCAUGUAUUACAACACCGUGACAUUAGAUAAAUUAAGUAGCAAUUUCUUUAUUUCAUAUUGUAACCCAUAGAAAAAUUAGCUAAUGAGUAUUGCAU